UGGGGAAUAUUGCACAAUGGGCGCAAGCCUGAUGCAGCCAUGCCGCGUGUGUGAAGAAGGCCUUCGGGUUGUAAAGCACUUUCAGCGAGGAGGAAGGUGGUGAACUUAAUACGUUCAUCAAUUGACGUUACUCGCAGAAGAAGCACCGGCUAACUCCGUGCCAGCAGCCGCGGUAAUACGGAGGGUGCAAGCGUUAAUCGGAAUUACUGGGCGUAAAGCGCACGCAGGCGGUUUGUUAAGUCAGAUGUGAAAUCCCCGGGCUCAACCUGGGAACUGCAUUUGAAACUGGCAAGCUAGAGUCUCGUAGAGGGGGGUAGAAUUCCAGGUGUAGCGGUGAAAUGCGUAGAGAUCUGGAGGAAUACCGGUGGCGAAAGGCGGCCCCCCUGGANGAAGACUGACGCUCAGGUGCGAAA
rnacentral:rRNA from 1 species